UCGCAGCGUGAGCGGCAGUCGCUGAAGCCGAAAGCCGUUUGUAUUUGGCAACUCAUAACUAAGCACUCGUUUGUGACACCACGCUUGUGCCAGGUUCCAUCGUACGUCACGGUGAUGUCCUUGCAAAAGCUGGGGUCCUUUUUUUAUAUAUGCAGUAAUCACUGCUGCAGCAAAAUAGGCAUAACUUGUCCAAAGUGGUGGCCUCUGGCUCCCUGAAUGUCCCUUUCAGAUGCUUUUGAAACGUCUUGUGGUGCAGACCUCUGUGAGGGAUGUUCAUUGCUUCCCAAGAAUUGUUGAGAGCUGUUCGCCCCUUGCCUAUUUGCUUCAUAGCCAUUAUGGUGCACACAUUUACGUCAAAGGCCUGCGAAUCCUCAAACCUCAUCACGUGAGUGCAGUCAUAGAGCCAGUUCUGUUGGGUCACACUUGCGAUUCCUUCCUGCAGCAGCUUCUCAAUGUACUUUGCAUUGGUAAGAAAAAAGGUCAUUACAAGACAAAAAUAUUGAAGAGAACAGUAUGACAGCCAUGGGAAACAAGAGCAGUUUAUGUACAAGCACACAGUGCGCAUGGCUGUAAGGUCACUUGAUACACACAUUUGACAAUAAAAAAAGAUUCACACAAUACACUGUACUGUUAACACUGGAUACCGGAACAUUGAAAAACCACAAAGGAAAUUGCGAUACAUUGUCCGUAAACCUAGGUUUUUUUCGCGACCUUUUCGAUCGACGAGGCACACGUUGUGCCGAAGCACUUCCUUGUGGGGCAGAAAGUAACGCGGAUGUUGAGCCUUCUGGCUCAUUUAAGCGCUGCUCAGGAACAUCUGAGAGCGGGGAAGAAUAAUGAAUCGAAAGACUCGCUCAAGCGCCCCUCAGCACUGGCUGGGGACGGAGAAUUAUGACGCGGCGCAUGGGAGCCUGACGGCUCUGAAUUACCAUAUAAUGCGGAAUAUAGGUCGACCCCCUUACCUUGACCAGCAAAAAAAGAAAAGAAAAACAUGGAACUGUUCACUGAUGCACUUAAUUCAGUCCUCCGAACUGUCGGAGCUCUCCUCCGAGGACGACUGCUUUUCGCUAGCCGCCUCCCACAACAUGUCGUCCUCGGUGCCGUCGAGAGCGUUGCUGAUGCAGCACUUCCUAAAUGCGCGCACCACUAUUUCUUCAGGCAGAGACCUCCAUGCCUCGGAGACCUAAGCACAAACUGUCGCGAGAGGUGGCCUGCGCAGCCGGCCUGUUGGGGUCUGCUGGUGUAGCCAGCCAUCCAUUCAUUGUAAAACGCACGCACACUGUCUUUAAAAGGCUUGUUAAGGACGACGUCCAGCGGUUGCAACGUUGACGUCAUCCCUCCCGGAAUGACGACAAGAUCGGUCUUCCCGUCACGAAGUGUCUCCUUCACUCAUGCCGUCAAAAGCCCUCACGUUUUUCGAGCGUUUUGGGUGUCGGCGGAGACUUGAUGCCGCGAAGGUCGCCGGGCGCAGCGAGUGCCGAAGCGCACCUUCCAGCUCGCGCGGCGUUCGAUAUAUCCGAUGGCGGGUAAAAAUACCGUUCGAUAUAAGCAUGCGAAUUUCUUUACUUUUACAAAGGAUAUUCAAGGGGAUAAUUUACUAGUUUGAUAUAGCCGAAAAUUCUAUAUUGGUGGGUUUGAUAUUUCGACUGUAGUUGCCUGUUGGCAGACACCUGUGAGAGCGUGUCAGCUCUGUCUGCUGCCAUGGUUGUUUGUGGGGUGUCAGUCACUCACCCGAACUACUCGUCCUGUCGAACUGCUGGCCCCCCAUUUGGUGGGGUUCCUAUUGAAUACACAAAUCCGUGCGUGUAAGCCUGUCCCUUUGGAAUAAAUCCAUAGGUUUUGUCUUCAGGGAGUACUGCAAGGGUUCUAAUGUUUGUGUAUCUCAAUCCAUGUUUGCUAAGGGAGUUAAAGUUGCUUCAACCUCCAUUCUGUUUGAGUUCACAUCUGUGUUUUUGUGGCAGGCAUGAUAAUUUCCAAUCACUGUUGCCUUCAUCACUAUUUGGGGCUAGCAUGCACAGGGUUGCGCUUGCCAUUGCCUCAGAUGCGGAACGUCAUAGAGGGGCUGCAUCUUCUGUUACAUUUUGAUAAAGUCCAAAGUAAAGUUAGAACACAUUUCGUCAUUAAACACCUGGAUUGCUCGUUGAAGGCACUUGUCGUCCAGGCAAAUCGACUGAAACACCGGGUUAGCCAGACCACUUGGCGAUGUGUACAAUGUUUGUCAAUGGCGAUGCGGGGUUUUCGCGCAGCCACUCAUAGAUAUGGAUUCUUCUAAUUGUCCUUUUGCACGUUUUCGGCACUUUGCACCCUUUCCUGUGCGUACCUAGUCAAUUCCUCCACUGUUCGUGUGACCUCCACAGGUUGUCGUCACAUGCAACUGAAUGCAAAAGUUUCGGGUGCAGUAUUUCCAGAACUCAGCCAGCCUCAUGUCGAGUACAUAUUAAGCGCUCCGCAUGCAAGUCUUUGAUGACAAUAUAGAGCAAACAAAGAGCCAAUAACGUGCAUCGCUGUUAUUUAUUCACUCAGUGAAAACUUAACUGAUAUGGAAGCAUUCAGUCUCCAAAUAACGACUCAAGAAUGACCCCUACUCAUGCUUACAAGUGACACAUCGCAAAAGGAAAGGAACCAGCUCCAGCAGCAGUCUUAAGAAAGUAUUACACAGACUAAGUAAUGCUGUGCCCGCAUGCGAAAAUGGCAAAUCUACAGUGUAUGUUUUGAGACAACUCGUGUCGAGUUGUCUCGAAACUUCAUGUCUAACGUUGCGACCCCAAUCGUGUCCUCCCAUUUUGAGGUAUUCCAAUACUCGCGGCUAACUGUUGAAAUGCUAGAUGAAAUAGUAGAGGUCCCAUGUGCUUGUAGACCAAGUUGACGAGCGAUUUGGUCAUCUGACAAAGCCAGCGAAGAUAACGCAUGUGCCGUUACUCUUACUGCAGUCGUGGAAGACCAUGACGUGUGGGAGUCUAGUCCCUUGUCUGUGGAGUGCGGCGGCAGCGAUUCUGUAUUGGGUGGGCCGUUGCUCGAUUCCUCGGAUAAUGUCGCGACAAAUUGUCUCAGCAUCUCUAGCAGGAAACACAUCGAGCACAAGUUUUCUUUGUUUUGGAACUGACUAGCUGCAAUGCCCAGCAGGGAGGGGAUUGUAAACCUUUUUCAUCUCCGCUUGUUCCUGGUUCGGACACGUUUAAAACCUGUCCCAUGCCUCGAUCAGGUUCCACAAGUUUCUCCAUAGUUUCAUUAAUGUCCUACGCACAGUUCUCAUUGCUCAAACCAAUAGAUUUUGUAGUUUGUUCCUGGGAACAUAGAUGGCGUCACCAGAAAAGAAUGUUUUUUUCCUUUAGGGAACCGCCUACUCAACCAGGCUAUAGAGGUUAUUAACAAAGGCAAAUACUUCCUCGGUAAGAGUGACAAUCUAGAGAUGCCAAGUGGCAAUUAUUUGAUUUAAUUUGUCCACGCCGAGCAUUCCGAUAUUGUAUUCUUGAUUAAGGAGGGGCUUUUUUAUGAUAUUCACAACCCCCUGCCCCCCCUCCCCCUUUUCUCUCCUCUUUUAGCAGCAACAUGUUUAUUUGCCGUGUGCAUCGUGCUCAUCAAGCUCACAGAAUGCCUCUCUGCACACACUCAGUGAGCAAAGGUGCAGACUGCGACACAGCAAAAUAUACUGUUCUAUUUAAACAACACAUUACACUUAAUUGCUUCUGGCACCACCCCAAAACACAGUACAACUAACUUCCACUUGCCGAGACGCAAGGGUGCAAAGGGGGAACCGCAGGCAUGUCACAGCUUGCAAAGGUGACAUUGACACACUGCUUGGGAAAAGGUCCCUAGUGGCUAUGCUGACUUUUCUGCUUGUCGGUGUCAGUGUAGUCGAAAUAUGGAAAGCGUUGACCAAGAACUGUGGGCGUUAGGUUCAAAGUUUUAUAUUGAUGGAGCUGCCACAUUCCUAUGUAUGUUUCUUCGAUUACAAAAGUGUCAAAAAGGAGCUUUCCCAAGGCCAUCGGGUAGAUCUUCUUGUAUUAUUUAGUAGAGGACAUGCUGUUCACUUGUAGCGCCACAUGCUGUGGUUCAAGGCAUCGUCAUCUGGAAAUACUUCAUUGUUUGAGAGCACAACGGCGGGUGUCCUGGAAAUUGUCUGCUCAGCAGAAUAUUUGACAUGCUCAAGAAUCUAUGCCACCACCAAACAUUUUCUUGAUUGUAUGAAAAGCAGAAGGCUCGCAGUGUGGCUCGUUCCACUGCAGUGUGCGACCGCCAAUGGUGUCCUGUAGUGAAAAGCUAGUGUAGCGGUUAGAUUCUGGAAUUGUGCUGCGGUUUAUGUAACAGGAAAGGAUAGGGUUGAAGAAACUUGCUGCACUUGGAGGGGACUGCAAAAGGGUCGUUAGACUGGGCGAGCAGGUUCAGGUCAUAGUUUAAACAGCACACAAGACAGAAGCACAAGACAAGGAAGACCACAGGACAAGGCACUGGAGUAACAGCUGACAGGUGUAUUGUGGAGUGGGAGAAAUACAUACACAAAAACAACCUCUUUGCAUGCGCAUCCAGCGCCACCAUACACUCUCCACUACUGUACGGGACACAAUCUCCAUACAGUCUUUUUGGGGGGACCGCCUUCCUGGCCAGGCUGUAGAGGUUAUUCACAAAGGCAGAUGCUUCCUAAUGGAUGCCGUUAAACUGAAAGUUUGAGUUCUAUCAUGACAUCAAACGAUGCGGGCACAUCCAUGUAUAAGGUAGUGAGAUCACCGUGCGGAGCAUCAAAGAGGGGCUGCAUGUUCUGGUACAUUUCAGUAAAGUCCAAAGUAGAGUUAAGAACACAUUUCAUCAUUAAGCAUCUGGAUUGCUCGUUGGAGGCGCUUGUCGUCUAGGCGAAGAACCGAAACAGUGGGUGUUACAAGCUGCCACUCUAGCGUCGCCAGCGCGAAGUCUGCGACGGGAAUGACAGCAGGUUAGGUUGUUCGCUGCGUAAGCAGAGACAGUGAAGAGAUUACUUUACUCUAGUAAUAUUGCAGCUCAAGAAAUCUAGUACAACACUCAAUACCAACUAACAAAAUAGAUACAAAAUCAGUCAAUCAGUUUACAAGAGAGAAGUAUUACAAACUACACAAAACUAACAAACAAUAGAACUAUUGAUGAGAAAGUUCGAGAAUAUAAACAGGUAAAGGUAUAUGUGUGAUAACCGGCAGCGUUGAGUCCACGACGAUCAGAUGUGAGAAGUCAGAGAGAGUUGUGGCACAACGGCGAUGUCAGCGGUGUUGCAACGCUGGUGUUUCCGGGAGGCUAGUGCUUGAAGCCGAUCUCGAGCAGGUUGAGCUAACUCGAGAUUGAAGUCCCGAUGCCUGUGUUGCAGACGUUAAGGGCCAGCCGAUACAGAGCCACACUAAAGACUUCUAGAAGGGAGACUUCGAAAGUUUCGAACACAUAUUUUGGUCUAAAAUGACCCUGCACAGUAGCUAGAUGUGUCCUUUGGGACUCUUUUCCUUUGCCGCUUUUCCUGCUUGUGUUGCAUCCAUUUCUGAGCCUUUUUCAGACGAGAGAGUCUUUCUCCGCAGCCCGUUGGUUGGUUAGGUGGCCAGGUGUGAGCCCUACCGACGACGACAACUCUUGGGUGGCCCUGUAGCAGCCGGCGUUGUAUCUCAGAACUGCCUCAUGCAGUGCUGUCUCCACAGCUAUCAACGAUGCAUGCUGUUCCUUGGGCAUCAAGGACCAUAAGACAGGGUGCAACGAUUCCGACUCAUUUUGAGUCUUUGCUCCCAGGCAGCGUUGCAGAAGGGAAGCCUGUGAAAGGCGCUGAUAGACAGGCAGCAAUGCGUUUGCAACGUAGCCUGGAAGAUUGUACUUGUGCUUUGGAGGUGGCACACCAUUCGCCUUGCUGCCGUCAUGACGGCACCACGAUUCCACACCUUCCGGGCACAAGUCAUGGUGAGGGUCCGUGUCAGUGGAGGUGACGUGAUGAAAUGAUGCCAUCACUGCACGCUGCAUUGCAGCCACAUCACUGGAAUUGUUCCGCAAUGCCCAGCCAUAAUAAUCCGUCAACUUAUCAAUAAGGGCUUUCGUCAACCUGCCCUUCCCUCCUAGAGCUUGCUCCAACCAGCUUGCGGAGCCAGUGUCCUCGGGCUUCAGUCCCAACUGGCAGCCGAGGCACUGAUUUGACAACACUACGGCAUCUAAGAUGAGGCCUGUGUGGUACUCGAUGACUGCACCAACUCCAAUGUGGGAUGUAUGUCCACGCUUGUGCCAGGUCCCAUCAUAGUUCACUGUGAUGUCCCUGCAGAAAGAUGGGUUCAUCUCCUUGUACGUCUUUUUCACGGCAGAAGCCGAUUCUGCGUAGAAUUUUUCCAGGGUCUGUUCCUGUGGUUCCCUGAAUUGCUUCAGAUGCCUCUGGAAUGUUCUAUGGUGCAGGCCACGGUGGGAAACAUUCAUAGUUGCCCAAAAGUCGUUGAGGGCUGUCUGCCCUUUCCCUAUUUGCUUCAUGGCCACAAUGGCCCUUAUAUUCACGUCGAAGGCCUUUGACUCGUUCUGGCGAGCAGAACUCCACGAGCUCGAAACUACUCCACAGUGUUCACAUACUAGCUGAAGCUUCGUGGCAAGUCCAAGCUGGGUGCCUUCUUGGAACUUCACCCCAGUCGCGAGGCAGCGCGGGCACGGGGACUUAAACAGCAGGUCGCUAAGGGCAUCCCCUUGCACGAGGAAA